rnacentral:rRNA from 1 species
UGGGGAAUUUUGGACAAUGGGCGCAGCCUGAUCAGCCAUGCCGCGUGUGUGAAGAAGGCCUUCGGGUUGUAAAGCACUUUCGGACGGAACGAAAUCGCGCGAGUUAAUAGCCCGCGUGGAUGACGGUACGUAAGAAGAAGCACCGGCUAACUACGUGCCAGCAGCCGCGGUAAUACGUAGGGUGCGAGCGUUAAUCGGAAUUACUGGGCGUAAAGGGUGCGCAGGCGGCCCCGCAAGUCAGGCGUGAAAUCCCCGAGCUCAACUUGGGAAUGGCGCUUGAAACUACGGGGCUGGAGUGUGGCAGAGGGAGGUGGAAUUCCACGUGUAGCGGUGAAAUGCGUAGAUAUGUGGAGGAACACCGAUGGCGAAGGCAGCCUCCUGGGCCAACACUGACGCUCAUGCACGAAAGCGUGGGGAGCAAACAGGAUUAGAUACCCUGGUAGUCCACGCCCUAAACGAUGACGACUAGUUGUUGGAGGAGUUAAAUCCUUUAGUAACGAAGCUAACGCGCGAAGUCGUCCGCCUGGGGAGUACGGUCGCAAGAUUA